rnacentral:rRNA from 1 species
CCUGUUCCCAUUCCGAACACAGCAGUUAAGCUCUCCAGCGCCGAUGGUAGUUGGGGUUGUUCCCCUGCGAGAGUAGGACGCUGCCGGGC